ACCCUCUAAGCAUCUCCAUAUGUAAGGUAGCUGCUUCAACUUACACCAGAGCUGAAAUGCAGUCUACAUUCUUUCUUUUUUCAGGUUGGGAUGAAUACCAUUCAGGAACAAAAGAACAAGUGAAUAAAGUAUCCUAAGCAAUUUUUGCAAAGAAUACACAUUUUUAAGUUGUUCUGGAGAUGAUAAAGAUUGGACCUUAGCACCAGCAACCUCCAGCAGACUGCAAUGGCUCUGCCUUUAAUACACUUCCACCCCUGUGUGUUAUACAGCCAUAAUACUGAACACAUGAGGCAGACAGCUGCCCUGAGGCAUUCUCUGUAAAAACUUUCAUAUCACAACGGAACUGAACGCACCAUUAUAACACCACGUCUCCUCUUCUUCACGCUGCUGCUUCCGCAUAACUGAGACCUGUUUAGUGCAAAUGAAAGCAGUUUUCUGGAUGAAGCAACCUUUUCCUUUUCCUCAGAGUCUUGGGCUCCACAUCCACUCCCUGCCAGGACAGGUGCGUCCCACACAGCUUCCU
rnacentral:lncRNA from 1 species